rnacentral:rRNA from 1 species
GCCAUGCAAGUCUCAGUACAUGCCUAACUAAGGUGAAACCGCAAAAGGCUCAUUAAAUCAGUUAUGGUUCCUUGGAUCUUAAACAGUUACUUGGAUAACUGUGGUAAUUCUAGAGCUAAUACAUGCAAACAAGUCCCGACCAGAGAUGGGAGGGACGCUUUUAUUAGAUCAAAACCGAUCGGCGUCCGGCUCCGGCCGGUGCCGUCUCUUUUGGUGACUCUGGAUAACUUUUAGCCGAUCGCACGGUCACAGUACCGGCGACGCAUCUUUCAAAUGUCUGACUUAUCAACUGUCGAUGGUAGGCUCUGCGCCUACCAUGGUUGUAACGGGUAACGGGGAAUCAGGGUUCGAUUCCGGAGAGGGAGCCUGAGAAACGGCUACCACAUCCAAGGAAGGCAGCAGGCGCGCAAAUUACCCACUCCCGGCACGGGGAGGUAGUGACGAAAAAUAACGAUACGGGACUCAUCCGAGGCCCCGUAAUCGGAAUGAGUACACUUUAAAUACUUUAACGAGUACCAAUUGGAGGGCAAGUCUGGUGCCAGCAGCCGCGGUAAUUCCAGCUCCAAUAGCGUAUAUUAAAGUUGUUGCGGUUAAAAAGCUCGUAGUUGGAUCUGUGUGCCACGCUGUCGGUUCACCGCCUGUCGGUGUCAACUGGCAUGUCUGUGGGACGUCCUGCCGGUGGCGGUACGGGCUGUCGGCGCUGCGUAGGGGCUCGCCUCCGAAGCACGCCGGCGUGUUCCGGUCCGCCGAUUCAAUCCCGCCGCGGUGCUCUUCACUGAGUGUCGAGGUGGGCCGGCACGUUUACUUUGAACAAAUUAGAGUGCUCAAAUCAGGUCGUAUUUAGGCCUGAAUACUG